rnacentral:lncRNA from 1 species
GACCUGCAUUUCCCGUGUCCCUCCCUGGAGUGGAGCAAGGACCUGCCUGGGCAGCAGGGGGCCGCCUCCUGCCGAGCCUUGGAGACGGGGGACCCUGCAGGCCGACUCCCUGGCCUCCUGUCCUUCCUUCUCUGGGCACGGCUCACACUGUCCCUUCCUAGAGCGCUGCCCCUCCACGUCCCGAACCCAGACUCCCCCCCCAGCUCGUGCCCGCUCCAGAGACAGGCUGAAUGACCCAUGCUCUCUCCGCCAGGCCCCGACCCCUGAGUGUGAGGGACGUGUGCGCAGGACAAUUGACAGCCCUGUCCUUAGACCCCUCGGCCUGAGCCCAAGCCCACAGCCUCUUCUCACCAAGGCCCCUUGCUGAGCCUCAGUCUGCACAUCUGCAGAAAGGCGCCUCGUGGAGAGUGGGCAGGUCACAAGGGCGGUGCCCGGCGCAGGGAGCUCAGCGCAGCUCUGCCAGGUGGACAGGUUCACCUGAGGCCCAGAAGGGGCAGCCGUCCAGGGAAGAAGGCUCAGGUGCCCUCGGACACGGCAGGGCCUGCAGACGACCUGGCCUGCUCUCCCCUCCCAGCACACUCGCAGACUCGGAGCCAUCCUGGAGGCGUCUGGGGUACUCACUGCCCUACUGUCCACCACAAGAGCCAGUGUCCAGCCACCGGGGUGAGCCUUGAAAACGCUCCCUGCUCCACUCUGCCGGCUCCCACCUCCCGCAGCACAUGGCAGAGGCUCACGCAGCCUGCGUCGACUGUCCCCAGGUCUGUGAUCAGCUUCCACUGCCCCAUCCGUGCCACAGCCACACCCACAGGUCCCACUGGAGACCCUGCUCUCACCGCUCCCCGGGACGGCCCUAUCCCAGCCCCUGGGCCCCCAGAGCCAUUGGUAAAUGGUGACCGGGGGGAUGACAGGAGGGUGACGAGCCCCUUCACUCAUUCAACCUACUGCACGUGACUAGAGCUGGCAUCAAUCAGCAGAGCCUGGUGACAGCCGAGCCCCAGGCUGAUUGAAAGGGUCUGCCCCCGUCCUCCACAGUGGGCCGUAAAUGUGUAACUGAUCAAUCAACAAACCAUCAAUAACUACUGCACCGUGACAGGGCAGGGUCACUACGUGCACACAGUGGCUUGGACGUCUGCCCAGAGAGGCGGAGCAGGUCUGAUGGGCACCAGGGGCUCCUCUUGGGUCUCAGUUAAGACCUGGAUGAUCCCUCAGGAUCAAGGACGGAGGACAGGUCUCCUGUGACCAACGGGCCAAACUGAGUAGCCUAAAGGUAGACCUCUGCUCACAGUCUGGGCACGGGAGCCCAAAAGGGGCUGUGGGUCCCUCCAGGAUCCUCAGGAGGAGCCCUCCCACUUCCUCCAGGUUCUGGGGCCCCCAUGUUCCCUGGCCUCGUCACUGCAGUCUCUGCCUGUGUCUUCUGUGGCCUCUUCCUCUUCUGGCCCUCACAAGACACUUGAUGCUAGGCCCACAGGAUCAUGCAGGAUGACCUCACCCCAAAGUCACUUUGUAUUCAUCCACUUCCUGUUUGCC